AUGAACGCUAGCUACAGGCUUAACACAUGCAAGUCGAGGGGCAGCAUGAACUUAGCUUGCUAAGUUUGAUGGCGACCGGCGCACGGGUGAGUAACACGUAUCCAACCUGCCGAUGACUCGGGGAUAGCCUUUCGAAAGAAAGAUUAAUACCCGAUGGCAUAGUUCUUCCGCAUGGUAGAACUAUUAAAGAAUUUCGGUCAUCGAUGGGGAUGCGUUCCAUUAGGUUGUUGGCGGGGUAACGGCCCACCAAGCCUUCGAUGGAUAGGGGUUCUGAGAGGAAGGUCCCCCACAUUGGAACUGAGACACGGUCCAAACUCCUACGGGAGGCAGCAGUGAGGAAUAUUGGUCAAUGGACGAGAGUCUGAACCAGCCAAGUAGCGUGAAGGAUGACUGCCCUAUGGGUUGUAAACUUCUUUUAUACGGGAAUAAAGUGAGGCACGUGUGCCUUUUUGUAUGUACCGUAUGAAUAAGGAUCGGCUAACUCCGUGCCAGCAGCCGCGGUAAUACGGAGGAUCCGAGCGUUAUCCGGAUUUAUUGGGUUUAAAGGGAGCGUAGGCGGACGCUUAAGUCAGUUGUGAAAGUUUGCGGCUCAACCGUAAAAUUGCAGUUGAUACUGGGUGUCUUGAGUACAGUAGAGGCAGGCGGAAUUCGUGGUGUAGCGGUGAAAUGCUUAGAUAUCACGAAGAACUCCGAUUGCGAAGGCAGCCUGCUGGACUGUAACUGACGCUGAUGCUCGAAAGUGUGGGUAUCAAACAGGAUUAGAUACCCUGGUAGUCCACACAGUAAACGAUGAAUACUCGCUGUUUGCGAUAUACAGUAAGCGGCCAAGCGAAAGCGUUAAGUAUUCCACCUGGGGAGUACGCCGGCAACGGUGAAACUCAAAGGAAUUGACGGGGGCCCGCACAAGCGGAGGAACAUGUGGUUUAAUUCGAUGAUACGCGAGGAACCUUACCCGGGCUUGAAUUGCAACUGAAUGAUGUGGAGACAUGUCAGCCGCAAGGCAGUUGUGAAGGUGCUGCAUGGUUGUCGUCAGCUCGUGCCGUGAGGUGUCGGCUUAAGUGCCAUAACGAGCGCAACCCUUAUCGAUAGUUACCAUCAGGUUAUGCUGGGGACUCUGUCGAGACUGCCGUCGUAAGAUGUGAGGAAGGUGGGGAUGACGUCAAAUCAGCACGGCCCUUACGUCCGGGGCUACACACGUGUUACAAUGGGGGGUACAGAAGGCAGCUACACGGCGACGUGAUGCUAAUCCCUAAAGCCUCUCUCAGUUCGGAUUGGAGUCUGCAACCCGACUCCAUGAAGCUGGAUUCGCUAGUAAUCGCGCAUCAGCCACGGCGCGGUGAAUACGUUCCCGGGCCUUGUACACACCGCCCGUCACACCAUGAGAGUUUGUAACACCCAAAGCCGGUGGGGUAACCGCAAGGAGCCAGCCGUCUAAGGUGGGACAGAUGAUUGGGGUG
rnacentral:rRNA from 1 species